ACCCCAUUAAACUGACCAGUUGCAGCUCUUCUUUUUUGGUUUGAUUCAUAGAGUGGUUACUUUCUGUUUGCUUCUAUGCACUUAAUAUAUGUUCUUGAUAGGCAAUUGAUUGGAUGGAGAGAAAAAAAAUUGAAGGAAUCUAAAUGAGUUAUGGAGAGGUUUCAUUUAAUAAGUGAAAAGUUAAUAACUAACUUGGAGGCACCAUAGGAUUUUCAGUACAAAUAAAACAUUUGUGUGUAAUAAUAACUUGGUUUGUAUUGCACUCAUUUUGACUGAAGAUUACUGAAAUAGAAUUGUCAUUCUAGACAUGGCAGCUUAAUGAUUCCAAGGGUUUACUGAAUUGGCAGCAAAUGUCUAUUACAUUCUAGGAUUUUCACAUGCUCCUCUAGUCAUCACACUUUAUUUUAAAGUUCAACUCUAGCUUCUGUAAUCUUUAUCUUAUGACUUGUUCAUACCAUGAAUUUUUUUGUUUAUGAGAAAAAUUUAGGACUGUUACUUCUGUGUGCCAGAUCAACAAAUUUAAAACAACAAAACCGUAACAUGUGUAGCCAUACUGCAAGCAUAAGUUUUGAACAUUUUUACUGAUGCAAAUUCAUGAUAGGGAUAGAGCUUGCAUUGUGGUUUGAUUUGUUGGGUUUCUCAUAUUGUCUAUCCUCUCUAUCCUCCUCAUGCAUCUUCAUGUGCAUGGACUGCUAUUUGAUUCAGGUAUGUGACUUUUGGCUAAUCAUUGACCAGUUUAAAAUAUUGAGAAUUUGCGUCAUUAUCAUACUCUUAAUUAAGGGUAUAGAUGAACUUACUUAUGUUAUGGCUUUCUUGGCUGUCUUGCUAUGGAUUGAAUUUUUUGUUUUUUUUAAUGUGAAUAUAUAAUGCUUAUGCAGG
rnacentral:misc_RNA from 1 species